rnacentral:rRNA from 1 species
UGGUGGAGUGAUUUGUCUGCUUAAUUGCGUUAACGAACGAGACCUCAGCCUGCUAACUAGUCACACGAACGCUCAAAGGGGUUUGUUGGACUGCCGCGGCGGCGCUCCCCCUACGGGGGUCGGGCCCGUCCGGUCGGUUCACGCUCCGCAGUUCGUGGUCGUACUUCUUAGAGGGACUAUUAGUCGUUCAGUAGCUAAUGGAAGUUUGAGGCAAUAACA